GUAGGGAAUAUUGGACAAUGGGGGGAACCCUGAUCCAGCCAUGCCGCGUGGAGGAAGACUGCCCUCUGGGUUGUAAACUCCUUUUAUAUGGGAAGAACCGUCCUCAUUAAUGAGUGACCUGACGGUACCAUAGGAAUAAGCACCGGCUAACUCCGUGCCAGCAGCCGCGGUAAUACGGAGGGUGCAAGCGUUAUCCGGAUUCACUGGGUUUAAAGGGUGCGUAGGCGGAUAAAUAAGUCAGUGGUGAAAUCAACGGGCUCAAACUGUUAACUGCCAUUGAUACUGUGGAUCUUGAAUAUGAGAGAGGUAGGCGGAAUGUUGCAUGUAGCGGUGAAAUGCUUAGAUAUGCUACGGAACACCGAUUGCGAAGGCAGCUUACUAUUUCGUAAUUGACGCUGAGGCACGAAAGCGUGGGUAGCGAACAGGAUUAGAAACCCCGGUAGUCC
rnacentral:rRNA from 1 species